GGCCCUGUGGCGCAGCGGUAGCGCUUCAGAUUCCAGUCCUGAUGGUCGUGGGUUCGAUUCCCACCGGGGUCA